AUUGAAGGAGAAGAGUCACCGUACACAGCGUCUAAGCGCUCUUUGAUUUCGCUGCUCGAAAUUAUAAUUGGACUACUUUUUCCAUCGGAAGUGGAAAAACCUCAUAAUAUAAAUAUGUUGUCUUGGAAGACGGCGGAAAGUGACAUAAUAUGUACACUAAAAAUAUUUCAAGGAUGAUCGACUGCACAAUAAGGAAAUCAAAAGAGGGCCCAAUUUUUCUGCAUUGUGUGCUUAAAUUACGAAUUGAAACACAAGAUGCUAUGCAGUGCCAGGGGCUCAAAGGCGCCGCAGCCCCAGAAUAAUACAUUGGAAUUUACCAAAGCUCAACAUCAGCUUCAAGUUUCAUUCGUCGUCUACGAGGUGCAGGGUUCCUAUGCUGACAUUCCUGGUCUAGUGAGCAGAUCCCAUAGUGGAGAACACUACUCUACUGGUCUGCAAAAUAGGCUUCUGUGGCGGCGACGACCUUCUCAUUCGACGCUAAUUUCUGUCCAGCGAGUGACUUUUUCAAGUUUGGAAACAAAAUGAAAUAACACGGGUUCCGGAGUGAGCAAACGCGGCACCCAUCACGCCGACAGCUUUCUCAUGCCCACAAUUUUAUGCAGAAUAUGAUCCAUGCGGUCUUUUGACAUGCCUACUGUCUAUGUUAUCCCGCGAAAAUUCAAUCGGCCGUCUACCACGGUCACGUUAUCCUCCGUGGUACCAUUUUUCGGGUCGACCACGUAGAAACUCUUUAAGUUUUUGGCGGUCGCCAUUGAAGGAAAAGAGUCACCGUACACAGCGUCUAAGCGCUCUUUGAUUUCGCUGCGCGAAAUUAUAAUUGGACUACUUUUUCCAUCGGAAGUGGAAAAACCUCUUCAUAUAAAUAUGUUGUCUUGGAAGACGGCGGAAAGUGACAUAAUAUGUACACUAAAAAUAUUUCAAGGAUGAACGACUGCACAAUAAGAAAAUCAAAAGACGGCCCAAUUUUUCUGCAUUGUGUGCUUAAAUUACGAAUUGAAACACAAGAUGCUAUGCAGUGCCAAGGGCUCAAAGGAGCCGCAGCCCCAGAAUAAUACAUUGGAAUUUACCAAAGCUCAACAUCAGCUUCAAGUUUCAUUCGUCGUCUACGAGGUGCAGGGUUCCUAUGCUGACAUUCCUGGUCUAGUGAGCAGAUCCCAUAGUGGAGAACACUACUCUACUGGGUCCUAAGGACGCUAGGCCUUGCUGAUGUAGCGCGCUGCUCAAUGUGAGCACUUUUCUGCGAUGCUGGUAAACUCUGGGAAUUUCCUUACUGUGCGAAGUCCUUGCUCUGUUAUGUCUUAAUCGACAUAAGCCAUCCAGAAUCGGCAGAAUACGCCAGUGGCAAGCCUGCUUAAUUUUUACUUAACUAUUCGGACAACCGACCGUGGUAGCUAGAGCUUUUCUCGUAGCAGUCGACCCGGAUUCCAGUUAAACCUAGCCCGAGCACACUGUUCGCGCUGACUUGGCUCGAGCCCGAUCUCGGAUUAAAUUUAGACAAAGGCUGGCAACCACCUGGCGACAACAACAAAUUUUGUCCACUUCAGGAUCGGCAGGAAACAUCGGUGCUGAAUUCCUCCAUAACUAUUUAUUCAGUGCUUUUAACAGUCGACCCGGUAUCCGCUAAAUUUACCCGCGUAGUAACUUUGAUUAGACGAUAGACGAUGACUGGUCCCGACUUCACCACCUGUUCUGCACCACACUAGGGUCCAAAAUUAAAACGAUGGAAUCGACGUUUCGUUUUCACUGAUGCCGUCUCACUUUAUUGCCUCAGGCUGGCAACCCUGAGUGCGACAAUCCCUAAAAAACACUUUUUGUGUUUGGAGACAACUUUUGCAAAACAAAUUUUAAAAUAUGUCAAAAAAUGGUUGAAUGUAGCAAAGUGAGGUAUAAGAACAGUAAGGGACUAAGAAUAGUUUGUGUUCCUAGCGGCCAACGGGCUGUGCGAGUCUUUUUAGUGUUACAUUUAAUAAAAUUUGUAUUUUUCUCGAGAAAAUUGAGAAGA